GAUGAACGCUGGCGGCGUGCCUAAUACAUGCAAGUCGAGCGAACAGACGAGGAGCUUGCUCCUCUGACGUUAGCGGCGGACGGGUGAGUAACACGUGGAUAACCUACCUAUAAGACUGGGAUAACUUCGGGAAACCGGAGCUAAUACCGGAUAAUAUAUUGAACCGCAUGGUUCAAUAGUGAAAGACGGUUUUGCUGUCACUUAUAGAUGGAUCCGCGCCGCAUUAGCUAGUUGGUAAGGUAACGGCUUACCAAGGCAACGAUGCGUAGCCGACCUGAGAGGGUGAUCGGCCACACUGGAACUGAGGCACGGUCCAGACUCCUACGGGAGGCAGCAGUAGGGAAUCUUCCGCAAUGGGCGAAAGCCUGACGGAGCAACGCCGCGUGAGUGAUGAAGGUCUUCGGAUCGUAAAACUCUGUUAUUAGGGAAGAACAAAUGUGUAAGUAACUAUGCACGUUUUGACGGUACCUAAUCAGAAAGCCACGGCUAACUACGUG
rnacentral:rRNA from 1 species